rnacentral:rRNA from 1 species
AUUGAACGCUGGCGGCAUGCUUUACUCAUGCAAGUCGAACGGCAGCGCGGGCUUCGGCCUGGCGGCGAGUGGCGAACGGGUGAGUAAUACAUCGGAACGUGCCCAGUAGUGGGGGAUAGCUCGGCGAAAGCCGGAUUAAUACCGCAUACGACCUGAGGGUGAAAGCGGGGGAUCUUCGGACCUCGCGCUAUUGGAGCGGCCGAUGGCAGAUUAGCUAGUUGGUGGGGUAAAGGCCUACCAAGGCGACGAUCUGUAGCUGGUCUGAGAGGACGACCAGCCACACUGGGACUGAGACACGGCCCAGACUCCUACGGGAGGCAGCAGUGGGGAAUUUUGGACAAAGGGCGAAAGCCUGAUCCAGCAAUGCCGCGUGUGUGAUGAAGGCCUUCGGGUUGUAAAGCACUUUUGGCGGGAACGAAAAGGACUGUGCCAAUACCACGGUUCGAUGACGGUACCCGCAGAAUAAGCACCGGCUAACUACGUG